GACGAACGCUGGCGGCGUGCUUAACACAUGCAAGUCGUACGGUAAGGCCCUUUCGGGGGUACACGAGUGGCGAACGGGUGAGUAACACGUGAGUAACCUGCCCACAACUUUGGGAUAACGCUAGGAAACUGGUGCUAAUACUGGCUAUGUGCUCCUGCUGCAUGGUGGGGGUUGGAAAGCUCCGGCGGUUGUGGAUGGACUCGCGGCCUAUCAGCUUGUUGGUGGGGUAGUGGCCUACCAAGGCGGCGACGGGUAGCCGGCCUGAGAGGGUGACCGGCCACAUUGGGACUGAGAUACGGCCCAGACUCCUACGGGAGGCAGCAGGGGGGAAUAUUGCACAAUGGGCGCAAGCCUGAUGCAGCAACGCCGCGUGCGGGAUGACGGCCUUCGGGUUGGAAACCGCUUUCAGCAGGGACGAAGCUUUUUGUGACGGUACCUGCAGAAGAAGCACCGGCUAACUACGUG
rnacentral:rRNA from 1 species